rnacentral:rRNA from 1 species
CUAAUACAUGCAAGUCGAGCGGACAGAAGGGAGCUUGCUCCCGGAUGUUAGCGGCGGACGGGUGAGUAACACGUGGGUAACCUGCCUGUAAGACUGGGAUAACUCCGGGAAACCGGAGCUAAUACCGGAUAGUUCCUUGAACCGCAUGGUUCAAGGAUGAAAGACGGUUUCGGCUGUCACUUACAGAUGGACCCGCGGCGCAUUAGCUAGUUGGUGGGGUAAUGGCUCACCAAGGCGACGAUGCGUAGCCGACCUGAGAGGGUGAUCGGCCACACUGGGACUGAGACACGGCCCAGACUCCUACGGGAGGCAGCAGUAGGGAAUCUUCCGCAAUGGACGAAAGUCUGACGGAGCAACGCCGCGUGAGUGAUGAAGGUUUUCGGAUCGUAAAGCUCUGUUGUUAGGGAAGAACAAGUGCGAGAGUAACUGCUCGCACCUUGACGGUACCUAACCAGAAAGCCACGGCUAACUACGUGCCAGCAGCCGCG